rnacentral:rRNA from 1 species
CCUACGGGAGGCGGCAGUGGGGAAUUUUGGACAAUGGGCGCAAGCCUGAUCCAGCCAUGCCGCGUGUGGGAAGAAGGCCUUCGGGUUGUAAACCACUUUUGUCAGGGAAGAAACGGUCUGAACUAAUACUUUGGACUAAUGACGGUACCUGAAGAAUAAGCACCGGCUAACUACGUGCCAGCAGCCGCGGUAAUACGUAGGGUGCAAGCGUUAAUCGGAAUUACUGGGCGUAAAGCGUGCGCAGGCGGCUUUGCAAGACAGAUGUGAAAUCCCCGGGCUCAACCUGGGAACUGCAUUUGUGACUGCAUGGCUAGAGUACGGUAGAGGGGGAUGGAAUUCCGCGUGUAGCAGUGAAAUGCGUAGAUAUGCGGAGGAACACCGAUGGCGAAGGCAAUCCCCUGGACCUGUACUGACGCCCAUGCACGAAAGCGUGGGGAGCAAACAGGAUUAGAUACCCUGGUAGUCCACGCCCUAAACGAUGUCAACUGGUUGUUGGGAGGGUUUCUUCUCAGUAACGAAGCUAACGCGUGAAGUUGACCGCCUGGGGAGUACGGCCGCAAGGUUGAAACUUNAAAGAUUGNGNGNGNGNGNGCGAGNGACAGAGGAGAG